rnacentral:tRNA from 1 species
GCCUUCGUGGUGUAAUGGUUAGCACACUGAGCCGGUAUUUCAGAGGUCCGUGGUUCGAUUCCCGGCGAAAUCA